rnacentral:rRNA from 1 species
GUAGUUAGCCGGGGCUUCCUUGUGGAUUACCGUCACUUCCUUCGUCAUCCACGAUAGAGGUUUACAAUCCGAAAACCUUCUUCCCUCACGCGGCGUUGCUGGGUCAGGGUUUCCCCCAUUGCCCAAUAUUCCCCACUGCUGCCUCCCGUAGGAGUUUGGACCGUGUCUCAGUUCCAGUGUGGCCGAUCAGCCUCUCAGCUCGGCUACCCAUCGUCGACUUGGUGGGCCGUUACCCCGCCAACUAUCUAAUGGGACGCGAACCCCUCCUUCUGCGGAUUGCUCCUUUGACCUCUCUGCCAUGCGACAGUGUGGUCUUAUGCGGUAUUAGCACUUGUUUCCAGGUGUUAUCCCCCUCAAAAGGUCAGGUUGUUCACGCGUUACUCACCCGUUCGCCACUAGAUGUAAAACCGAAAUCUUACAUCCCGUUCGACUUGCAUGUGUUAGGCACGCCGCCAGCGUUCGUCCUGAGCCAGGAUCAAACUCUGA